UGACUUUCGUAUUUGAUGGCGACAAAAUAAACCCAGCAAGUACACCCCAGGACCUUGACCUGGAGGAUGAAGACAUGAUUGAGGUGCACCAUAAGCCAACUCUAGACAAGCCAGCUGAAGCAUACGUGAAGAAAUCGCGAGAAAAGAUACUUAUAAUGAUUCAGGACAAAGAUGUGAAGCUGCAGUUCCGUGUAUACAAGGUAUAACUUUUUCAUGAGACUGUUACUAGUAUCAGUGUGCAAUAACAGUAUAUAAUCUUUCUGUUAGAUAGUUCGAAUUCGCUAACAGGUACUUGCAAUUAUUUCAUGCAUCACGUUUUAUGGCCUAACUGGAUUCAUUUUGACAGAAUAAAUGUCCAACAUACUUUCAAAUUUUCAUUUCAUCGUUGGCUGAAGUUUAAUGUACAUUAGUUCAAAUGUGUACGAGCUGGGAUUUCAACAUUUCGCUCCAUUCAACCUGCAAAAUGAUAAUUUAGAGUAUCUCUGUAUGCUUAUAUCUUGAUUUCUGAUCGCUACAGGAUGAGAAAUUUGACAAGCUUUUCAAGGUGUAUGCUAAGAAGGUUCAACUCAAGCCAUCUGAUCUGAUUUUCAUAUUCGAUGGUGACAAAAUAAACUCGGCUAGUACGCCCCAGGACCUUGACUUGGAGAAUGAUGACAUGAUUGAGGUGCGCCAUAAAUCCCACUGAUGGCUAGGAGCUUGGCACGGAGUUAUCUCAAUCUGUAGUUUUGGGCGUCCCUGAGUGGGAUGUUGUUUGGAGGUUGACCUGUUUUCCUUUGCAGUCAGCUGCUCAUAAGGUCAGCUCAACUUUUGCUAGUGUUAGCUUCUUUUACAUGUUCAUGUCUAUGCCCGUAAUAGACAUAUCAAACAUGCAAUUGUAUGUAGAACAUGCUUCAUUCCAGCCUGUCUGAUAGAAUUUUACUAUGAAGUAUUUGAGCGGUGUAUCUUAGUGUACAGACGGGAUUUGCUUGGAUCAAUUUCACGUUAAGUGGACGACUGCGCAAAUCCAAAGUUCCUAAUCACACGGCUCUACCUGUAUGGAUAAUUUCGUUUCUGGAUUCUAUAGGAUAGUUGUCCAGCGGAUGUAACAUAGUGCAUGUGGCUACAUUUGUGUUUAUAAAUUUGGUUUUAGGCAAGCUAGAACUGUUGACGGACGAGCAUGAGGUAAAGAACCAGUAUGAACUUAGGUGAUUUCUGAUACCAUGAACACUGUUGCUACUUGUAUUUCUCUCCAUAGAUUGCAGCCCUUCUUUGCAUCGAUGUGGCUCAUUUUAAUGAAAAACAGCAGGGAAAAAAAAUGUGCUGCAGCCUUUUAUUGUAUAAUAUAAAAG
rnacentral:lncRNA from 1 species